GACGAACGCUGGCGGCGUGCUUAACACAUGCAAGUCGUACGGUAAGGCCCUUUCGGGGGUACACGAGUGGCGAACGGGUGAGUAAAACGUGAGUAACCUGCCCACAACUUUGGGAUAACGCUAGGAAACUGGUGCUAAUACUGGAUAUGUGCUCCUGCUGCAUGGUGGGGGUUGGAAAGCUCCGGCGGUUGUGGAUGGACUCGCGGCCUAUCAGCUUGUUGGUGGGGUAGUGGCCUACCAAGGCGGCGACGGGUAGCCGGCCUGAGAGGGUGACCGGCCACAUUGGGACUGAGAUACGGCCCAGACUCCUACGGGAGGCAGCAGUGGGGAAUAUUGCACAAUGGGCGCAAGCCUGAUGCAGCAACGCCGCGUGCGGGAUGACGGCCUUCGGGUUGUAAACCGCUUUCAGCAGGGACGAAGCUUUUUGUGACGGUACCUGCAGAAGAAGCACCGGCUAACUACGUG
rnacentral:rRNA from 1 species